rnacentral:miRNA from 1 species
ACACACACACACACACGUAUAUUUAUAUUUAUAUUUAUAUAUAUGUAUGUCUGUGUGCAUAUCUAUGUGUGUGUGUGUGUGU